rnacentral:rRNA from 1 species
GAUGAACGCUGGCGGCGUGCCUAAUACAUGCAAGUCGAGCGAAUGGAUUAAGAGCUUGCUCUUAUGAAGUUAGCGGCGGACGGGUGAGUAACACGUGGGUAACCUGCCCAUAAGACUGGGAUAACUCCGGAAAACCGGGGCUAAUACCGGAUAACAUUUUGAACCGCAUGGGUCGAAAUUGAAAGGCGGCUUCGGCUGUCACUUAUGGAUGGACCCGCCUCGCAUUAGCUAGUUGGUGAGGUAACGGCUCACCAAGGCAACGAUGCGUAGCCGACCUGAGAGGGUGAUCGGCCACACUGGGACUGAGACACGGCCCAGACUCCUACGGGAGGCAGCAGUAGGGAAUCUUCCGCAAUGGACGAAAGUCUGACGGAGCAACGCCGCGUGAGUGAUGAAGGCUUUCGGGUCGUAAAACUCUGUUGUUAGGGAAGAACAAGUGCUAGUUGAAUAAGCUGACACCUUGACGGUACCUAACCAGAAAGCCACGGCUAACUACGUGCCAGCCGCCGCCGUAA